CCUACGGGAGGCAGCAGUGAGGAAUAUUGGUCAAUGGACGCAAGUCUGAACCAGCCAUGCCGCGUGCAGGAAGACGGUCCUAUGGAUUGUAAACUGCUUUUGUACGGGAAGAAACACUCCUACGUGUAGGAGCCUGACGGUACCGUAAGAAUAAGGAUCGGCUAACUCCGUGCCAGCAGCCGCGGUAAUACGGAGGAUCCAAGCGUUAUCCGGAAUCAUUGGGUUUAAAGGGUCCGUAGGCGGUUUAAUAAGUCAGUGGUGAAAUCUGGUCGCUCAACGAUCAAACUGCCAUUGAUACUGUUAGACUUGAAUUACUGUGAAGUAACUAGAAUAUGUAGUGUAGCGGUGAAAUGCUUAGAUAUUACAUGGAAUACCAAUUGCGAAGGCAGGUUACUAACAGUUGAUUGACGCUGAUGGACGAAAGCGUGGGGAGCGAACAGGAUUAGAUACCCUGGUAGUCCACGCCGUAAACGAUGGAUACUAGUUGUUUGGAUUUAUCUGAGUGACUAAGCGAAAGUGAUAAGUAUCCACCUGGGGAGUACGAACGCAAGUUUGAAACUUCAAAUGAUUAGAGNGNGNGAGNGCGACGACGACGACGAGGAGGAGG
rnacentral:rRNA from 1 species